UACGGGGGGGGCAAGCGUUGUUCGGAAUUACUGGGCGUAAAGGGCUCGUAGGUGGCCAACUAAGUCAGACGUGAAAUCCCUCGGCUUAACCGGGGAACUGCGUCUGAUACUGGAUGGCUUGAGUUCGGGAGAGGGAUGCGGAAUUCCAGGUGUAGCGGUGAAAUGCGUAGAUAUCUGGAGGAACACCGGUGGCGAAGGCGGCAUCCUGGACCGAUACUGACGCUGAGGAGCGAAAGCCAGGGAGCAAACGGG
rnacentral:rRNA from 1 species